rnacentral:tRNA from 1 species
GGAUCGGUAGUCCAGUUGGUUAGAAUGCCGCCCUGUCACGGCGGAGGUCGCGGGUUCGAGUCCCGUCCGGUCCG